CUCACCCGCAAUGAAGCCAAGUCUAUGUCUACUAGACUUUUAGCCGGAGAGUCGUUCGCCAUCUUUUUUUAGGGCUUUUUCUUCGUGUUUUACGAGAAAACGUCGCCUCUGGGUCAUUUGAGGAGGACGUCGAGGGGCGUCUGGCAGAACAAGAUCUUGUGCUUGUCGCAGACAAAGAUGCGGUCCAGGACGAAUUUGCUGAUGGAGACGUGAGUCAGAUUCCUGAGGCUGCUGUUCUUGCACACGGCUGAGAGCAACUCGGCUCGCCUCUCGACGACCGACUGCCAGUCUGUCACUCUGCAGGUUUCUGACCCCUGCCCUAUAACAGACUGUAGUGAUCAAACAUCAGACACUUACCAUCUACACCUCUGAAGCUGAUGAACUUGCUGACAAACAUGAGGAUGAGCAGCACCCAGCCGCAAGCCCCGAGGAGC